UCGCAAGACGAUGUAUACGGACUGACGCCUGCCCGGUGCUGGAAGGUUAAGAGGAAGGGUUAGCCUUUGGGCGAAGCUCUGAAUUUAAGCCCCAGUAAACGGCGGUGGUAACUAUAACCAUCCUAAGGUAGCGAAAUUCCUUGUCGGGUAAGUUCCGACCUGCACGAAUGGCGUAACGACUUCCCAGCUGUCUCAACCGCGAACUCGGCGAAAUUGCACUACGAGUAAAGAUGCUCGUUACGCGCAGCAGGACGGAAAGACCCCGGGACCUUUACUAUAGUUUGGUAUUGGUGAUUGGGACGG
rnacentral:rRNA from 1 species